rnacentral:ncRNA from 2 species
GCAAGCUUACGAUGGACCGGGGAGAGUCGGAUACUUUGAGAGUAGUGUCUUAAGGGGGGUGGUAUGUCCCAUCCAAGGCUAAAUAACGUGAGGAGACCGAUAGAUUACAAGUAGUGUGAACGAAAGAUGAAAAGAACUCUAAAACAGAGGGUGAAAAGUUCCUGAACUUGCUUAGGGUUAAGGCUAUUUAUAGUACCCGUCUUGAAACACGGAUUAGGGAGUUUAUCUGUAGUGCGAGUCUUUGCACGUUAACUGUAAAGGCGUAGAGAAAGCAACUGGCGUUUGCAUGGCUACUGAGCAUUACUGAUAGGACCCGAAAGGUGGUGAACUUUGCCUGCACAGGUUGAAGUCAGGGGAAACUCUGAUGGAGGACCGUACGGGUUAUUGAUGUGCAAAUCAUUUUUCUGAUGUAGGUAAAGGUGCGAAAGACUCAUCGAACCACCUAAUAGCUGGUUUCCUCCGAAGUUUCCCUCAGGAUAGCUGUAAUGCAUUUAGUUAAGGGGAGUAGAGAUAUGGGUAGAGGUGCAGGGAGCCUUCGGGUUCUCAACUUAUUUCCAAACUUCGAACCUCCUUGUUAGGCAUUUACCUAACUGGAAAUGCUUAAAUGAAUUAGCGUUACAAGUGGGCUCUGACCGGUAAGCGGUCAUGGCGAAAUGGGAUGAACCAUACGUCUGAAUAAGGUGCCGAAAUGUACUAUCACUGAUACCAUAAAGGGAGUCCAUGUAUUUAGACAGCAGGUCGGUGCCCCUAAAAGCAGGUAUCCGCUAAAGAGUGUGUUAAAACUCACCUGCCGAAUACUAGGGCCCCGAAAAUGAAUGGCGCAUAUAGUACUACCGAUCUCAGACAUCAGUUCUAUUGAACUGAGAGUAGGGGGAUGUGGACAUUUUUGUGAAGGUGCAAUGUGAGUUGGACUGGAAGAAUGUCUAUUACAGAUCCUAAUUGAAGUAGCGAUUAUCCAGGCUUGUAUCCUGGGGGCUGAUGAGGAGUAGGGUUUC